rnacentral:rRNA from 1 species
AGAGUUUGAUCCUGGCUCAGAACGAACGCUGGCGGCAUGCCUAACACAUGCAAGUCGAACGCCAUCCUCUGGAUGGAGUGGCGCACGGGUGAGUAACGCGUGGGAACCUGCCUUUUUCUGCGGGACAACGGUUGGAAACGACCGCUAAUACCGCAUACGCCCUACGGGGGAAAGGUCCGCCGGAGAGAGAGGGGCCCGCGUUUGAUUAGCUUGUUGGUGGGGUAACGGCUCACCAAGGCGACGAUCAAUAGCUGGUCUGAGAGGAUGAUCAGCCACACUGGGACUGAGACACGGCCCAGACUCCUACGGGAGGCAGCAGUGGGGAAUAUUGGACAAUGGGGGCAACCCUGAUCCAGCAAUGCCGCGUGUGUGAUGAAGGCCUUAGGGUUGUAAAGCACUCUCACUGGCGAAGAUGAUGACGGUAACCAGAGAAGAAGCCCCGGCUAACUUCGUGCCAGCAGCCGCGGUAAUACGAAGGGGGCGAGCGUUGUUCGGAAUUACUGGGCGUAAAGGGCGUGUAGGCGGCUCCUUAAGUUAGGCGUGAAAGCCCCGGGCUCAACCC